rnacentral:rRNA from 1 species
UAGAGUUUGAUCCUGGCUCAGCCUGAACGCUGGCGGCGUGGCUAAGACAUGCAAGUCGAACGGAUGCAGCAAUGCAUCAGUGGCGAACGGGUGAGUAAUGUAUCGCUAACGUACCCUCCAGUCAGGGAUAGCCGGGGGAAACUCCGGGUAAUACCUGAUCAGACCACCAUCCCCGCAUGGGGAAGCGCUCAAAGGAGCAAUCCGCUGGAGGAGCGGGCGAUAUCGUAUCAGCUAGUUGGUGCGGGUAACGGCCCACCAAGGCGACGACGCGUAGCCGGGCUGAGAGGUCGGCCGGCCACAUUGGGACUGAGACACUGCCCAGACUCCUACGGGGGGCUGCAGUAACGAAUCUUCCGCAAUGCACGCAAGUGUGACGGAGCGACGCCGCGUGUGGGACGAAGCCCUUCGGGGUGUAAACCACUGUCAGGGGUUACCAAGUUCUGAGGAGCCCCAGAGGAAGGCACGGCUAACUCUGUGCCAGCAGCCGCGGUAAUGCCCAAUCGCCC